rnacentral:rRNA from 1 species
UACGGAGGGUGCGAGCGUUAAUCGGAAUUACUGGGCGUAAAGCGUGCGCAGGCGGUUUGUUAAGCGAGAUGUGAAAGCCCCGGGCUCAACCUGGGAACCGCAUUUCGAACUGGCAAACUAGAGUCUUGUAGAGGGGGGUAGAAUUCCAGGUGUAGCGGUGAAAUGCGUAGAGAUCUGGAGGAAUACCGGUGGCGAAGGCAGCCCCCUGGACAAAGACUGACGCUCAGGCACGAAAGCGUGGGGAGCAAACAGG